rnacentral:lncRNA from 1 species
CUUGUAUCUCUCAAAACAAAAUUUAUGUUAUCAUCAUAUUCAGAACUAUCCCUACCAUGAUCGAGAAUAUAUAGUCUUAGUUGCCUGAGUCAACUCAUACGCAACCUUGUUACAAACACGACUAAUUACAAUAAUUGAGCGGUCAAUAUAUACAUUCAAGGAUAAGACAAUCAAUAGUAUAGACUAAAUUAGCUGCCCUGCUAAGAUUGAAAUCAGUGACAAACUCAACAGUAGAUCGAGACCACACCAAUUGGAUAAAACACUGAAUUCUGAAAUAUCAAAUGGUUUCGAAAAAACACUAAAUUAAAAAUCCAUCAUAUGAUACUUAAUCCGAG